UCCCAGACUCCUACGGGAGGCAGCAGUGAGGAAUAUUGGUCAAUGGGAGAGAUCCUGAACCAGCCAAGCCGCGUGAGGGAAGACGGCCCUAUGGGUUGUAAACCUCUUUUGUCGGAGAACAAAACCCGGGACGUGUCCCGGACUGCGUGUAUCCGAAGAAAAAGCAUCGGCUAACUCCGUGCCAGCAGACGCGGUAAUACGGAGGAUGCGAGCGUUAUCCGGAUUUAUUGGGUUUAAAGGGUGCGUAGGCGGAGUGUCAAGUCAGCGGUAAAAUUUCGGGGCUCAACCCCGUCGUGCCGUUGAAACUGACGCCCUUGAGUGAGUGAGAAGUAAGCGGAAUGCGUGGUGUAGCGGUGAAAUGCAUAGAUAUCACGCAGAACGCCGAUUGCGAAGGCAGCUUACCGGCGCUCAACUGACGCUGAGGCACGAAAGUGCGGGUAUCGAACAGGAUUAGAUACCCUGGUACUG
rnacentral:rRNA from 1 species